UACGGAGGGAGCUAGCGUUGUUCGGAAUUACUGGGCGUAAAGCGCGUGUAGGCGGCCCUGCAAGUCGGGUGUGAAAUCCCACGGCUCAACCGUGGAAGUGCACUCGAAACUGCAGGGCUAGAGUCCUGGAGAGGAAGGUGGAAUGCUUGGUGUAGAGGUGAAAUUCGUAGAUAUCAAGCGGAACACCGGUGGCGAAGGCGGCCUUCUGGACAGUGACUGACGCUGAGACGGCGAAAAGCGUGGGGAGCAAACAGG
rnacentral:rRNA from 1 species